UACGGAGGGUGCAAGCGUUAUCCGGAUUCACUGGGCUUAAAGGGUGCGUAGGUGGGUUGGUAAGUCAGUGGUGAAAUCCCCGAGCUUAACUUGGGAACUGCCAUUGAUACUAUCAGUCUUGAAUACUGUGGAGGUCAGCAGAAUAUGUCAUGUAGCGGUGAAAUGCUUAGAUAUGACAUAGAAUACCAAUUGCGAAGGCAGCUGGCUACACAAAUAUUGACACUGAGGCACGAAAGCGUGGGGAUCAAACAGG
rnacentral:rRNA from 1 species